rnacentral:lncRNA from 1 species
UGGUGUGGGCGACAUGGUGAUGGCCACAGUUAAGAAGGGCAAACCAGAAUUAAGGGAAAAGGUACAUCCGGCAGUGGUGACUCGACAAUGAAAGUCAUAGCAAAGAAAAGACGGGGUGUUCCUUUAUUUUGAAGAUAAUGCAGGGGUCAUAGUAAACAAUAAAGGUGAGAUGGAAGGUUCUGCUAUCACAGGUCCAGUUGCAAAGGAGUGUGCAGACUUGUGGCCCAGGAUUGCACCCAAUGCAGGAAGCAUUGCCUGAUUCUCCAGUGUGUUUGAAAACUAUAUUCAUUAAAAGUCUUCGCUCUGAGUAAAAAAAAAAAA